AGAACAUUCUGAUUCACAA
rnacentral:miRNA from 1 species